ensembl:rRNA 5S_rRNA 5S ribosomal RNA
GCUUACGGCCAUACCAACCUGAAAGCCCCCGAUCUCGUCAGAUCUCGGAAGCUAAGCAAGGUUGGGCCUGGUUAGUACUUGGAUGGGAGACUUCCUGGGAAUACCAGGUGCUGUAAGCA